AUACGGAGGGUGCAAGCGUUACUCGGAAUCACUGGGCGUAAAGGACGCGUAGGCGGGUUGUCAAGUCUGAUGUGAAAUCCUAUGGCUCAACCAUAGAACUGCAUUGGAAACUGGCAACCUAGAGUAUGGGAGGGGGAGAUGGAAUUAGUGGUGUAGGGGUAAAAUCCGUAGAUAUCACUAGGAAUACCGAAAGCGAAGGCGAUCUCCUGGAACAUAACUGACGCUAAGGCGUGAAGGCGUGGGGAGCAAACGGGAUUAGAAACCCCGGUAGUCC
rnacentral:rRNA from 1 species